UACGGAGGGUGCAAGCGUUAUCCGGAUUCACUGGGUUUAAAGGGUGCGUAGGUGGGUUGGUAAGUCAGUGGUGAAAUCCCCGAGCUUAACUUGGGAACUGCCAUUGAUACUAUCAGUCUUGAAUACCGUGGAGGUCAGCGGAAUAUGUCAUGUAGCGGUGAAAUGCUUAGAUAUGACACAGAACACCCAUUGCGAAGGCAGCUCGCUAAGCCACCAUUGACGCUGAGGCACGAAAGCGUGGGUAGCAAACAGG
rnacentral:rRNA from 1 species